GACUAGUCCCCAGACAAAUGAUGCAUGGAAUUUGUAUCUGUGUGUUGCCAUGCCGACGCCGUGCACAGAUUGCUCAAGAUUCAGCAGGACUUGGCAGGGACCUUUUUGCUUCCCAGAGACUCAAUGACAGGCCUGGAGAAACUGGUGGUGAACGGAUAAAGACCUCUCUUGAGAACUGGGAUCCAUGGCCUGACUGGUAUGGCUGUAAGAGUCAACAGCAAAGCUCCACUGGCUUCACUCUUGCACUGCUGAACGCAAAUAAAGGAGAUGCUGGAAGGGGAAAAGGAGUGACAACCAAGAUCAUGGACACCAUCAGCUGUCACCAGGAGGAGAGGCUGAGCCCCAGCUUUGCCCAGGACGGGAUGUCCUGGACUGUUGUGGGACUUCCUGACCUCAGCUGGUUUCCACAAAGUGUCAGCAGCCAAUGGAGUCAGUAUUUCCACAGCAGAGCAGCACCAGCUUCUCAGCAAACACAUCUGGUCCCAUGCUUGUGGCAGUGGCAAUGGUGUAUGCUUCCAGAGAAGUUGCUUUCAUCAUUUCAAAGUUUUUCAUCCAUGUAUCAUAAUAGAUGUGUCUCCAUUGCAUGGCAGAUGUUUUUGCCACUUUGUGUUGCAAUCCUAGUUAUCCAGCCCAACAGACCUGCUGGGACACAGCACAUGUCUCUCUUUCCUUUCUCAGGCAGAUGGGUUACCCUCCGAUAGAGAGGUGGUGCUUUGCGCGAUCCCAUUGCAACAUGCAUGCCACCAGGUUUUUAUCCAGAACAACAUCAGGUCCCAAUGUAUUAACAAAUCAAAACUGAUUGCACUCAGCACCUCUCAGGAAAGCCCCAAGUUACAGGAAACACCCUUGGAAGGGAUGUCAGAAUUACCAAGCCUCAUAUGAAUGGGUAAUACUGGAACUUGCAAAAAGAUUAACAAAAAUCAGUUUCCGUAUAUAAA
rnacentral:lncRNA from 1 species